rnacentral:rRNA from 1 species
UGUGGAAUAUUGGACAAUGGGCGAAAGCCUGAUCCAGCAAUGCCGCGUGUGUGAAGAAGGUCUUCGGAUUGUAAAGCACUUUCGACGGGGACGAUGAUGACGGUACCCGUAGAAGAAGCCCCGGCUAACUUCGUGCCAG